GUCCGAUGUGUCCCUGAGGGAGAAGCUGUCGAAUAUAGAAAAGAAAAGAGAGUGAGAUGUGGAAUUCGACAUGUUCUACUCAUGUGACGAAUCCGACAAGGUACAGGC
ensembl:ncRNA F57F10.4 ncRNA